rnacentral:rRNA from 1 species
CCUACGGGAGGCAGCAGUGAGGAAUAUUGGUCAAUGGAAGCAACCCUGAACCAGCCAUGCCGCGUGCAGGACGACGGCUCUAUGGGUUGUAAACUGCUUUUGUACCGGGGUAAAAUGCUUUACGAGUGGCGUUUUGCAGGUACCGCACGAAUAAGGACCGGCUAACUCCGUGCCAGCAGCCGCGGUAAUACGGAGGAUCCGGGCGUUAUCCGGAUUUAUUGGGUUUAAAGGGUGCGUAGGUCGCCUUAUAAGUGAGUGGUGAAAUGCCGAGGCUCAACCGUGGGACUGCCGCGGAGACUGGAGGGCUAGAGAUCGGAUGCAGCAGGCGGAAUGUGUAGUGUAGCGGUGAAAUGCAUAGAUAUUACACAGAACACCGAUUGCGAAGGCAGCUUAC